rnacentral:piRNA from 1 species
UAAAAGAACUCAGGUUUCCAUGUAGAU